rnacentral:lncRNA from 1 species
AUGUCCCAGCCUUCCCGACACUGGCAGUUUGAACAUGGGGACAGAUCUGAUGACUUCUGCAGGCACCUCAAAGAGGGGGAGGAGGAGAGAGGAGCAGAUGUAAUGCUCCAGAAGACGGGUGAAGAGAUGAGACCCUCUAUCACCCUCCGCCCCCCACCUUUGUUCCGCAGCAUCGGACCGUCGGGGCUGUCGGCCAGCCUACCACCCCACCGACGUCUCCGCUCCAUAUUCCGCAGGUCCAGAGCGGUGCUGCCUGCGAAUAGACACGCCGGCGAGGUUUCAGGAACACACACCCUCCAAGAUUUACUGUCAGGCACCCACAUCAACACACUCCCACAUCAACUGACUCACAAUGACGUAGUGUCAGAGAAGGACGUUCACAUAAACACAGACUCCGAGACACAAACACAGCCCAAGAGACUCAUGAGUGCACAUGGGCUCACUGUAUUAGAACCACCAACUGGACCUCUCACAGAUACACUCUCAUUCAUAGUCAGUGCUGAAAGCAGACAGCAGGGCGGAAAGCCUUUUUCUCAGCUUUCCCCACCCCUAAGGACCCAUAUCAAAGGCAGGGCAAGAUGGGGCAGAGCAGUGUCUCCUCUUAAAAUGCGAGAUAAUCUUGGGACUGGAGAGGGAGGAGUGAAAGAGAAGCAGAAGUUGAAGAAGAGGAGGCUGGAGUGUAAAGGAGAGGACCAUGUCAAUGACAGAUAUGUCCCGUCCUUCACCCCAGAGACAGAGGGAGAUGGUGGACUGUGCCAGUGGUUACAGAGUCUGGGGAUUGGAGAUAGAGAGGAGGAGGCCAUUUCCCCCAACAGAAGUAAACAGCAGCAGAGUGGGUUCAGAGAGAGGAUGGCUGGACACAGAGAGGGGUAUUUACAUCCAGCAGCCAACCACAGGAGAGACAGACGCCCCCACUUCCUCCCGCCUAUCUGUCAGUCUGGCUCCCUCCUCCAUGUACCCCUGCUGCUUCCCGAAAACUCCCCGCCACCCUCGCCAUGCACCUCCCCACACGCCCCCUUCCAUCCCUUGCCUGUACCCCUCCUCCACCCUCUGCCCUUCAGGAGGAAGUGA